AAAUUUGUGCAUUAUUUAUUCACAGUCAUCUGACAUUUGAAAAUCAUGCAAUAAAUUGUCUUGUGAGUUUCUAAUUUUCAUUAAGAAAUAAUACUUCUAUGUUAUCAUUCAUACGGUAUAUACCUACAGCAUACCUACCUUCACAUUCAACACAGGUUGAAUGUGUAAAAAAAAAAUAACAUUUUUAAUUGAUUCAAAAUUAUUUCUAAGAAUUUUUAAAAUGCAUCAUUAAAUGCAGAUUCUUUCUGUAUUGUUUUUAAUUGAUUUUCAAUUUCUAUGAAUUUUUAAAAUGCAUCAUUAAAUGCAGUUUCUUUUGUAUUACCAUUCAUAAUUCAAAAUGUUUGGCAGUUAUUGGAAGCAGCAAGUACAAGGCUGCUGUCAAGCUAAGAGUACCUACUGACGUUUUGCACCAUGUCGUCUUUUAAGACGUACCUGUUCAGUACAGAAUAUUUCUGGGGAAUCUUUGCCACAGAGAUGGUGUGUGGUAAGCACUCGCCGCCUGCCAUGACGCACUUGGACUCCCAUUAAACUGCCUUGCCGUGUGCGGUGCCAUGAUCAAUAUGGCAUCAUCAGACGUGCUGGUCUGCCUCACAGCAACAGACAGUGGCAUUGAUGGAUGGUUUGCACCGUGGUCUGGGCAGACAAGGCGCAUCAUCAGCCGCACCACAUGUCCUCCUCUACUCGGGGCGGUACUAACACCGCGGGUGCCGGCAGUGGAGCUGUCACAUCGUCCUUUGUCGUUGGCACCAGAACGUCGCCAUUCUCUGGCAGUCGGGACUUGAUUGUGUCGAAUGCGGGGCCUGGCAAUCAGCCAUGCUUGCUCCGAUGACCAGGACUUGAUUGUGUCGAGUGCGGGGCCUGGCAAUCAGCCAUGCUUGCUCCGAUGACCAGGACUUGAUUGUGUCGAGUGCGGGGCCUGGCAAUCAGCCAUGCUUGCUCCGAUGGUCGGGACUUGAUUGUGUCGAGUGUGGGGCCUGGCAAUCCGCCAUGCUUGCUCCGAUGGUCGGGAUUUGAUUGUGUCGAGUGCGGGGCCUGGCAAUCAGCCAUGCUUGCUCCGAUGGUGGGGACUUGAUUGUGUCGAGUGCGGUGCCUGUCAAUCAGCUCUCCUUGCUUUUCACUGCCGGGUUCGGCAGACGAAUCUACCUAUGGGAGGUUUCCACAGUCAAGAAAAAAAAAAGAGUGAUUCUUUUCAAAACUAUAGCCUGGUAUGUAGGUUUCCAAUGGCAUUGGUUUAGAUUCUCAAUUCCCGUUUUGGUACAUGGUUGUGCUAAACAGAUUUACCUACAGUCUCUAACUUAAUACUGGUCUGUAGUCCUUAAAUGGAUAUGAGUAUUCAGUUCCUAAGAGCUCACAGUUCGACAGUCCCUAAACGCAUUUUUUUGUGUGCAGAUUUCACUGACAUUUUGUUUUGUUCGCUCGCACCAAAAUUUCGUGGUAGUAGUUCCUGAAUGCAUUCAGGCGCCAUCUCCUCGUGCUAACUGAUUAGCAACAACAGAAGUAUUCAGAACCUGUUUCAUGCUAUACUGAUUUCCAUCAAGUUUGUCGACAAUGAUUCCCAGAGACGUGCAAAUGCGUUUCUUGCGUGGUGUUAUUGAUUUACUUUGAGGCUGAAAAUCGUUGCUGUUCACUGUGGAUACAAAUAAUAUUUAACUUCUCUUUCAAUACUUAUAUUAGCUCUUGUUGUCUUGUUCGAUCAGGAAAUUAUUAUUUGAUAAAUUUAUCUAGAAAAAUGUUGGUCACAUUUUUUGUGAAUUUGGAGGUUGUUUGUUGCCUAGUUGAACUAGUAUAAGGUUGACCCAUGAGAAGCUUAUUUCUGCUGAUGUAGUUAGUUGUUCGCCUGUGACGUCACUGAUCUCAGUGACGUCACGGGCAUUAGCCAAUCACCAAAAUACGAUCAAACAGUCAACCAAUCCGCCAUGGGAAUGACGGGAUUGUUAACGUUUCUCGAUCUCAGUGACGUAACAAGA